rnacentral:pre_miRNA from 1 species
AAAAAGACAAACCCUGGUUUCCGUGUCCAACGUUUUACCAUCCGUCUUAUUUAAAAAAAUUAAAAAAAAAAUGAAAAAGACAAGUCACGCAUAAAAUAUUAAUCAUGUUUUAUUAUCUAACAAUAAUGAAAAUACGAAUUAUAAAAAAAUUUUAUAUAAAACGGACAGUCAAAGUUGGACACGGAAACUCAGAUUUGACUUUUUU